CCAUAUACUCCCCUAGAAUCGAAUCUGUGACUGUGGUUUGAUCACACAAAUUCGGUUCUACAGGGUAUAUAUAGA
rnacentral:pre_miRNA from 13 species